GACGAACGCUGGCGGCGUGCUUAACACAUGCAAGUCGAACGCUGAAGCCUGGCUUUUGUUGGGUGGAUGAGUGGCGAACGGGUGAGUAACACGUGAGUAACCUGCCCUCUUCUUUGGGAUAACGCCCGGAAACGGGUGCUAAUACUGGAUAUUCACUUGCCUUCGCAUGGGGGUGGGUGGAAAGGGUUUUUUCUGGUGGGGGAUGGGCUCGCGGCCUAUCAGCUUGUUGGUGGGGUGAUGGCUUACCAAGGCUUUGACGGGUAGCCGGCCUGAGAGGGUGACCGGUCACAUUGGGACUGAGAUACGGCCCAGACUCCUACGGGAGGCAGCAGUGGGGAAUAUUGCACAAUGGGCGCAAGCCUGAUGCAGCGACGCCGCGUGAGGGAUGGAGGCCUUCGGGUUGUGAACCUCUUUCGCUCAUGGUCAAGCCGCAACUCAUGGUUGUGGUGAGGGUAGUGGGUAAAGAAGCGCCGGCUAACUACGUGCCAGCAGCCGCGGUAAUACNUAGGGCGCGAGCGUUGUCCGGAAUUAUUGGGCGUAAAGGGCUUGUAGGCGGUUGGUCGCGUCUGCCGUGAAANUCCUCUGGCUUAACUGGGGGCGUGCGGUGGGUACGGGCUGGCUUGAGUGCGGUAGGGGAGACUGGAACNCCUGGUGUAGCGGUGGAAUGCGCANAUAUCNNNAGAACACCGGUGGCGAANNCGGGUCUCUGGGNCGUUACUGACNNUGAGNNCNAAAAGCGUGGGNNCNANCAGGAUUANANNACCCUGGUAGUCCNAGGNNNAUUUCCNCNNNGGANNNUNNNNCUUNANCNAUAC
rnacentral:rRNA from 1 species